AGGGAUUGCCUCAGUAACGGCGAGUGAAGCGGCAACAGCUCAAAUUUGAAAUCUGGCUCUUUCAGGGUCCGAGUUGUAAUUUGUAGAAAAUGCUUCGGGUGUGGUGCCGGUCUAAGUUCCUUGUAACAGGACGUCAUAUAGGGUGAGAAUCCCGUACGUGACCGUGCGCCUACGCUCAUGUGAAGCUCUUUCAACGAGUCGAGUUGUUUGGGAAUGCAGCUCAAAAUGGGUGGUAUAUUUCAUCUAAAGCUAAAUAUUGGCCCAGAGACCGAUAGCGCACAAGUAGAGUGAUCGAAAGAUGAAAAGCACUUUGGAAAGAGAGUUAAACAGUACGUGAAAUUGUUGAAAGGGAAGCGCUUGCAACCAGACUUGCACGCGGUUGAUCAUCCGGGGUUCUCCCCGGUGCACUCGAUCGUGUUCAGGCCAGCAUCAGUUUUGGUGGUUGGAUAAAGGCCUUGGGAAUGUAGCUCCUCUCGGGGAGUGUUAUAGCCCUCGGUGUCAUGCAGCCAACUGGGACUGAGGACCGCGCUUCGGCUAGGAUGCUGGCGUAAUGGUUGUAAGCGACCCGUCUUGAAACACGGACCAAGGAGUCUAAUAUCUAUGCGAGUAUUUGGGUGUCAAACCCAUCUGCGCAAUGAAAGUGAACGGAGGUGAGAACCCGCAAGGGCGCAUCAUCGACCGAUCCUGAUGUCUUCGGAUGGAUUUGAGUAAGAGCAUAGCUAUUGGGACCCGAAAGAGAGUGAACUUUACGUGAAUAGGGUGAAGUCAGAGGAAACUCUGAUGGAGGCUCGCAGCGGUUCUGACGUGCAAAUCGAUCGUCAAAUUUGCGUAAAGGGGCGAAAGACUA
rnacentral:rRNA from 2 species